CUUGAAUUCUUGCCCUGGCUCUUGGUGAAGGAUCGGCCUGCUGGAUCUGAGUCAUCCACCUAUAAGAGGGACAACACCACACAUUGGUCGCUGCUCUCAAGCCCCUGGAAUACCACCCCACUUGGCUUCUCCUGAUUCUGCUAUCAGCUACAGGUCUGGGUUUGUGUCUCCGACAAAGAACCACCUCAAAGCCCCACAGAAAAGGACUGUACCGUAUACUUCAAACUAUUGACACCUCAAAGAACAGAGCUUGGGUUCAGGCUUCUGAUGCAUUCUGAGACACUCUCAGACCAUACCAGUGGGCUGGGUCAGGAUUUACAGAACUAUUUUCAUUUCAAGAGCAUACGGGCUCAUGAGAUUGCUAACUCAAGAUCCGGUGGAACAGAAAUACUUAUAUCGGACUGAAUAAACUGAUGAGGAAAA
rnacentral:lncRNA from 10 species